rnacentral:tRNA from 1 species
GCCCAGGUAGCUCAGCUCGGUAGAGCGCCCGGCUGUGGACCGGGUGAUCCCGGGUUCAAUUCCCGGUCUGGGCC